rnacentral:rRNA from 1 species
UAUGGCCUCUCUGAGUGGUUUAUAAAUAAGUCAAAACUUUCAACAACGGAUCUCUUGGUUCUGGCAUCGAUGAGGAACGCAGCGAAAUGCGAUAAGUAAUGUGAAUUGCAGAAUUCAGUGAAUCAUCGAAUCUUUGAACGCACAUUGCGCCCGCCAGUAUUCUGGCGGGCAUGCCUGUUCGAGCGUCAUUUCAACCAUCAAGCCCCCGGCUUGUGUUGGGGACCUGCGGCUGCCGCAGGCCCUGAAAACCAGUGGCGGGCUCGCUAGUCACUCCGAGCGUAGUAAUACAUCUCGCUCAGGGCGUGCUGCGGGUUCCGGCCGUUAAAAGCCUUAUUUACCCAAGGUUGACCUCGGAUCAGGUAGGAAGACCCGCUGAACUUAAGCAUAUCAAUAAGCGGAGGA